rnacentral:rRNA from 1 species
UACGUAGGGCGCAAGCGUUGUCCGGAAUUAUUGGGCGUAAAGAGCUCGUAGGUGGCUUGUCACGUCGGGUGUGAAAGCCCGGGGCUUAACCCCGGGUCUGCAGUCGAUACGGGCAGGCUAGAGUGUGGUAGGGGAGAUCGGAAUUCCUGGUGUAGCGGUGAAAUGCGCAGAUAUCAGGAGGAACACCGGUGGCGAAGGCGGAUCUCUGGGCCAUUACUGACGCUGAGGAGCGAAAGCGUGGGGAGCGAACAGG